rnacentral:lncRNA from 1 species
AGCAUUCGACUCGGGUUACCAGUUGUUACAAGAUGUUCAUAAACAACCAGCAUCUAAACAAAACACCACAGCUAAACCGGACCUCCCUAACUUGGAACCUCUCCUACUAGACCUCAGGAAACAGGAAUCGCAGAUCAACAUAGAGAUCAAAAGACAGAACAAGGAUAACAGAACGUCCUUCAACACCCUACCCAAAGAGCUAAGUAAACAGGAACGAACUUCAAGCAGCAACAUCCGAAGCCUUCUCACAUGUUGGUCAUCAACCUCGAGAAACAAAUAACAGACACUAGAACAACCUAGCUUCCUAGAACUCUUUGAUCCUCUCCAUCAACCUGGCCAAAUCUUCCUGGAGCUCCACCGCUGAUAUCUGCAGCUUCUGCCAUUGUUUCACAUAGCCCACGACCUGAAAAGAAGUGUUUAGUAUUAGAAACAAGAAUAUUGUUAAACACCCAAUUAUUUCUAUUCUUCCACAGAGCCCAACACACACUAGCAACUAUAACAUGGCCCGAAGAUUGCAUAGAGGAAUUUGACCCAAUCGCACAUUUUAAGUCUUGAAAAGACGCCGGGAUACCCUCCCAGUUCAGGGCCUCCCUCACCCAGCACCAUAUAACCACUGCAACGGGGCAUCCGAAAAGAAUGUGACAGCUAGACUCCAGCUCUCCACAUAGUUUAAGUGUGCGUUUGGUUGGAGAGUCAACUAGAAUGUAGCGGCGUCGCUCCAUUCGCUCCAUUCUAGUUGACUCUCCAACCAAACGCACCCUAACCCGCGGUUCAAACACUGUUUCACUCUCUCACUGACCGAAUUAGUUGAGUAGUGGAAGAGAAUGGAGUGGCUCCAUUCCUAUUUUUUUUGGAUGUUUGGUUUCCAACAAAAGAGGAACGGAACGGCUCUUGGAGUCUUCAUAUGGAAAUUUACCAUAAAUAGUUGGAAUGCUCCCGCUUCACAAAAACGACCGGAUGCGAGCGCUCUCCCGGACGCGAGCGCUCUCCUCCCUCUCCCUCCCCUCUACACUCGUAUGACUCUCCAACCAAACAAAGAACAGAGCGGCUCCACUCUAUUCUACUCUUCAACCAAACAAAAAAUAGACCGGCUCUGUUCUGUUUGCCAAACGUAGAAUAGAACGGCUCUAUUUAAAAAAUUGGAAUGGAGCCGCUCGACUCUGCGACCAAACGCACCCUCAGCCCCCUGGAUGGAUCCGAAUUCCCGUGGCGAAGCCCCCAACGACCGCGCGCUCGACGGCGCGGCGAACGGGCGGCACUGGACGAUUAUGCCGGCCAACUGGGCUACCUACGGCGGAAACUAAGAGACCGAACACCAUCUACAGCCCAACGCGCAAGGAUAGGCGGCAACUAGAUGCCCCGGGACGCACUAACGCGAGCUCCAGCCGCAAGCGGCGAUUCUCGGAGGCGGCGAAGCUUUUCCGGCGAACCAGAGCGACUAACGGCUCAACCAUCUAGCUUGAGAACACCAGUGACUUACCACCAGCCUACCCGAGAAGACGGUUGAAGGAGAGGACGCUGGAGGAGGGCCAGCCACGUGCGACCUGAACGGCUCGGCGGCGCUCCGCGGUGGCGCGGUUGCGUCAGCGGCCAAGGGAGGACGGUAGCGGUUCGGUGGGUGUGAGCAGGGUGCAGAGGAGGUCUAAGUGAGGUUGAUGGUAAAGUUAAUUGAGUAAUCGGGGAAGUUAUAGCCCACGCGACCGAUAACAGCCACUCCGGCGUCCGCAACGGCCAAACGCCAAAAUUGGAGCUCAACUGUGCUCCAGUCGAGGUGGGAUGAGGUUGGUCGGGUGGUUGACUUCCCAGCGGAGCGAUAGACGGGAUGAAUUGGCUCGAAGUGCUUCCUAUCUGAAGAAAAGGGAUGGCGUGGGUCCGGCGCCCACUGCGGUGAGGAGACUGGCAGGCUGACUCCGGUCGCCUGGCUUGUCGCAACGCG